AGGAGGACAGAGCACAAGGCCCUGGGGGACUUCCUGCCCAUGGUGGGCAUCUCAGGGCUGUGCCCAGGCCCGGGGGCAGGUCCUCUUCCUGUACGGUGUUUGGAGGGAAGGGAGGACAAGCAGUGGCCCAGGCAGACCCUGGCUCAGCCCUGUUCUAGGACCCGUGAGCACCACCCAGCCCCUCUGGGGCUCUCAUGCCAGCCGCCCAGGGGAGAUGCCCGAGGAGGGUCCCAAGCUGCCCUUGGCCCUUUGCCUCUCCCACCCGUUGCCCUGGAGACCUCCCCUGAGCACCCAGACUCCCAAGCUCUGUUGAAAGUGAGGACAUAGGGAUCGCUCUGGGACACCUGGUCCCUUUGGCCAUGGUCCCACCCGUCUCUUUGCCCACUGGCCUCUAAGUGCUUAGCCAUUCCAGCCAGGGUCUGGGAAUUCCUGACGCUGCCCUGCCAAUCCCACCCACAGGCCACUGCGAACCUCCGAAGGACACCCUAGGGUGGCGAAUCAGCGGGGAAGGGGGGGGGUC
rnacentral:lncRNA from 1 species